AUCCUUCUCAAGGUCAAACGGGCAUGAUGACGGGUUAAUCUCAUUGAUAUAUGGGAGAUGUGCCGACCCACCCCUUGUUACGCAUUGGCGCAUAGGACCGUCUGACC
ensembl:snoRNA small nucleolar RNA U13